rnacentral:rRNA from 1 species
GUGCCAGCAGGCGCGGUAAUACCGGCAGCCCAAGUGAUGGCCGAUCUUAUUGGGCCUAAAGCGUCCGUAGCUGGCUGCGCAAGUCCGUCGGGAAAUCCACUCGCUCAACGAGUGGGCGUCCGACGGAAACUGCACAGCUUGGGACCGGAAGGCUCGAAGGGUACGUUCGGGGUAGGAGUGAAAUCCCAUAAUCCCGGACGGACCACCGAUGGCGAAAGCACUUCGAGAAGACGGAUCCGACAGUGAGGGACGAAAGCCAGGGUCUCCAACCGGAUUAGAAACCCCAGUAGUCC